CAGAUAGUAGCUGUGUGGUGAGAGAUGUCCACCCAGGAACACAGUACACUCUGAGAGUCUGUUGCAAGGAUGAGAGAGGUGACUGGUGUGCCUGGAGUCUACCUAGAGUUGCUGCCACGUCGCUACCUGCCUUCCGCUGGUGUUCAAAUAACCCCCACUACUCGACUAGUGUGGAAGGUAAAAUCGCUACCAAGAGUGACAACGUGCCUUCAGUCUUGCUCUCUAGUGCUAAACAGUUCGGACCAGAACAUUCUACAGAGUUUACUGUACUGGAGUGCCCAGAAGUACAAGGGUUGGAGGCAGGGGUUGGUUUAGUUGACGACGGUUCUUCUACGGAUACUCUAAUCCAAAGAGGCUGUUUGUUCCUUAGUUCACAAGGUUUGGUGUUUGUUGAUGGAGUGGAAAAAACUACUCGACUACCACCGUUAGUGCGAGGCUCACGAGUUUCAUUCACCUGUGAACCACUGACAAGCUCACGAGUUCGAGUUCACAUAGACAGCGGUGAGAAGACUGUUACAUAUGACUGGAGAGUUUCAAGUACGAGUUUCUACCUCGCGGCAGUCACAACGCAACAAGGCUGGAAGAUCAUGGUGGAAUAGACUGUUAGGAUAGACUACACUUUAAGUGGUAAUGGUUUCAAUUCUAAACUAUAUUUCAUGCUUCCGGUUUAGAUUGUUUUGAUAAGACGGUUUUUACACCAUCUGUUUUAAAAAGGAAUUCUGUUAAAAUAAGAAUUCGUGCUCAGUAGUUUCUGUAUGUACUCAUUUAUUUUAAAUGGCUGCUCCUAUGUUGUGGGUUAUCCAUUGGACAUGUGACAUCACAUUUUUAUGUACGCUAAUGUCGCUAAUUGUUAUUCUUUUAAAGAAAUUACAAAUUUUAAAAAGCAAUAUUGCUGCUAAGUACUAUUGUACAUUAAAUGUAAAUCAGAUUUAAUGCAUGGAACAGAGCACUGCCCCAUAAACAUUUUUAAUUGUAUUGAAUCUGAACAUUUGAUCUCCCAAUUCUUUAUUAUUAUGCAAAUUUAGCCGCAUAGGUAAAUAGAUCUAUGUAAAUAGACCAACCAAUAGAAUUUCUAUAGUUAAUCAGUGUAAGUAGACCAUGAAGAUGCCACACCAGAUGAUGAAAUGUGCAGAGGUGUCAACCUGUAAUCAACAACUCAUGCAAACACCGAGAUAAAUAUGGAUAAACAUGUGGGACUAACAACUUAGACAGAUAUUUUUCCAAAUACAUUGGAACCUGUGUUAUCCAAAAUAAAGGUGGGCAAGACCACUUUGGAUAAAGUAGCUUAAAGUUUUUGGGUAAACUUGAUUUUUUCACUUUCUAAAUGAGAAAAUAGACCUUAAAAAUAUCCGUUUGGGUUUAAAAACAGCUUUGAUUAACCAAUGCAUUGUUUACUCUGUUUAUGCAAUACAAGAUGUGUUUACAAUACAGCUACAUACAUAGGUAUAUUGUACAACGAUAUUUGAAUAAGCAAAACUAAACGACCAUCUGAGUCACACUGGUUUAGUAGAGGGGAAAGAGUGGGAUAGCAAAUUAGUCACAUAUGCACAAGCUACUUGGAGGUCACAAAUUGUGGAUAUUUAUUGGCAUGGUCUGUGGAUGCAAUAUUCACUGGUGUGGAUUAAUGUCCGCACUAUAGAGUACUACGACUAUCCGCAGUACUAUCCUGAUAACUAGACCAAUUCGUAAAUUACAAAGCAAAAAUGUGGUUCAAAUUCCACUAUAAAAUGUAGGUCUCUUAGUUACCAUAGGAUAUAUGGGCUAUUAAUUAACAGCUGUGUCUAAGGAAUAUGUCAGCCUGAGUCAGUAACAAGAACAAGACUACAAGAUCGCGCCGCUCAUCUCUGCCUCCCUUCUCUCUGGCCUGCUCCCGCCAUACUCAACUCUCUCUUUCCUUAUGUAGGACGUGGCAGCUAGAAUGUUUAGCGCCAAUGCUGCAAGCUACUGUAGCUGUAAAAUGAUUUUUCUGGCUGAUUUGGUUAAUUGGUAUUUCCAUUUUGGUUAUAAAUGGGUUUUGGUUAAUAGAGUUUCUACUGUAUUUACAAUCUUUUGAAGGAUAUAAGGAAUCUUAUUAAAAAAUAAAUUUAUACCUCAGGCUUGUGCCUACUUAUUUUUCUUAGUUAGUAUAAUGUUAAUACUUCUUUUCAAAUAACUCUCAGUAAUUUUAUGUAAUUUAUUUUAAAAUGCUAUUUGAUAUUUUGUUCAGUGGGAUUCGUUAAAAUUUUUUAAGAUUCUAACAUAAAUAAGGUAACAAAUCUUAACUUUCAGUAAUUUUAUGAGGAGAUAGAAACUCCUGUCUUGCCCAUCCCUGUUUAUUCCUGACUUAAAAAUUAUUUGAAAAUGUCUAAUCUUUGUAGGCCCUAUAACUUUUAGAUUUUUGAGAAUACAACAGUUUAAGAUACCUUUGUCAUUUUUUUAUGAUUCUUUAAAAAAACGCACACAACAAGACUUAUAAAUAUGCUGUUAUUUAUGUCUGGUGUCUAUUUAUGUGAAUUGUGAAGAAAGUGUCUA